GGGUUGCUAGCUCAAUUGGUAGAGCAGCUGACUCUUAAUCAGUAGGUUCGGGGUUCGAGUCCCUGGCAACCCACCA
rnacentral:tRNA from 1 species